rnacentral:rRNA from 1 species
AGAAUCAACGCUGGCGGCGUGCCUAACACAUGCAAGUCGAACGAGAAAGUGGAGCAAUCCAUGAGUAAAGUGGCGCACGGGUGAGUAACACGUGACUAACCUACCCUUGAGUGGGGGAUAACCUAGAGAAAUCUGGGCUAAUACCGCAUAAUACCUACGGGUCAAAGGAGCAAUUCGCUUUAGGAGGGGGUCGCGGCCGAUUAGUUAGUUGGCGGGGUAAUGGCCCACCAAGACUGUGAUCGGUA